rnacentral:snoRNA from 1 species
ACGACUAUACUCGAACAGGAUCUGUUCUAUAGUUCGUACACCUUGUUGUCUCUCUCAAGAGUGACAAGUUUCUCAGCCCAGAAGAUGAAGGGAAGCCUCCAAGCCUGAGCGUGAAAGUUUCGGCGGCUGUGCCCGGCCUUAGAGCUGGGCGCGCCCCGAUUGAGGAACGUCCCCAGGCUUCAUUCCGCCGAGGGGAGGCUUGGAGGCCGUCUGAUGGGUC